AUCACUGUUUGUAGUCUGUAUCCUUUCCUUGUUGCUGCUAUCUUCUCCACUUGUCCGUUUCUUAG
rnacentral:sRNA from 1 species